AUUGAACGCUGGCGGCAGGCCUAACACAUGCAAGUCGAGCGGAGCUGCGGACGGGUGUGUACUGCCUAGGAAUCUACCUGGUAGUGGGGGAUAACGUCCGGGAACGGGCGCUAAUACCGCAUACUUUCAGGUGAGCCUAGGUCGGCUUAGCUAGUGGGUGGGGUAAUGGCCUACCAAGGCGACGAUCCGUAGCUGGUCUGAGAGGAUGAUCAGUCACACUGGAACUGAGACACGGUCCAGACUCCUACGGGAGGCAGCAGUGGGGAAUAUUGGACAAUGGGCGAAAGCCUGAUCCAGCCAUGCCGCGUGUGUGAAGAAGGUCUUCGGAUUGUAAAGCACUUUAAGUUGGGAGGCGUUACCAAAAGAAUAAGCACCGGCUAACUUCGUGCCAGCAGCCGCGGUAAUUC
rnacentral:rRNA from 1 species